GAUGAAGUGGCGGAAUGAGGUAGUAAGGUCGUAAAGACAACUAAAACUCUAGGUCAGACGCCUAUUGGUCGCAACCAGUAGAAAAAGAAGUGCGCAAUUCAUGUGGGUUCGAAUCCCUCCUUCAUCA
rnacentral:tRNA from 1 species